rfam:Solanum tuberosum cultivar DM 1-3 516 R44 scf00048_54, whole genome shotgun sequence.
UUAACCUUCUAGAAUUGAUAUUAAUAAAAUUGAAACAAUACAAAGAAGAUAGAAUAGCCUGUGCACAAGGAUGAUAUACACCUAUCGACUAUCGAGAAAUUGUC